rnacentral:lncRNA from 1 species
UGGUGAGUGAAAUAUUCCUGAGAAUCCAUCCAUUUCAUCUACAUUUUCAAGUUUUUUAGCACAGUUAAUCCUGCCCUCUUUUUAUCCUAUGCCAGACCUGUACUGAUGUCCUUUUCAUUCCUGAUACUGUUUGUAGUAUACAGAUUUAUACCGCUGUUUAUUAUAUAAGGUAUUUGUAUCUUCUUUCUUUUUUAGUUGGCCAGUCUUAACCAGAAGCUUAUUGCUUUUACUGUUUUUUUUCCAAAGAGCCAAUAUUUUUCCUUCCAGUUUUAUUGAGAUAUAAUUGACAUAUAUAGCAUUAUAUAAGUUUUAGGUGUGCAGCAGAAUGAUUGGACUUACAUAAAUCAUGAAAUUAUUACCAUGAUAAUUUUAGUGAGCAUCCAUCAUCUCAUAGAUAAUAAACGAAAAUUUUUUAAAAUAUUUUUCCUUGUGAUAAUAACUCUUAGGAGUUCUUAAAGUCGUCUUAACAGUUAUCAUCUGUGUGUGUGUGUGUGUGUGUGUAUACACAGCAUUGUUAAUUAUAUUAGUCGUGUUGUACAUUACAUCCUUAGUACUGAUUUGCAUUAUAACUGGAAGAUUGUACCUUUGGACCACCUUCACCCAGUUCUCCCUCCCCCAUACCCUCACUUCUGGUAAAUAGGAAUCUGAUCUCUUUUUCUAUGAGGUUGGUUGAUUGGUUGGUUGGUUUUUUUAAGUAUAAUUGACCUACAACACUGUAGUGGUCCCUGGUGUACAACAUAGAACUUUGAUAUUUCUAUACAUCACAGAAUGGUCAGUAUAAGUCUAGCUACCAUCUGUCACCAUACGAAGAUAUUGUUAUUAUUGACUGUAUUCCCCAUGUUGUGCAUUUCAGCCUGGUGACUCAUUUAUUUGGUAUGGAAUUUUGUACCUCUUAAUUUCCCUCACCUAUUUCACUCAUCCCUGUACCCAUCUCCCCUCUGGCAACCACCGGUUUGUUUUCUGAAUAUAUGACUGUUUCUGUUAUAUUUGUUCAUUUGUUUUGUUUUUUAGACUCCACAUACAAGUAAAAUCUUGUAAUAUUUCUCUUUCUCUGUCUGACUUACUUCACUUAGCAUAAUACCCUCUAGGUCUACCCAUGCUGUUGCAAAUGGCAAGAUUUCAUUGUUUUUCAUGGCUAAGUAAUAUUUUAUUAUAUAUAUAUAAGAGGCACUAUUUCAUUUGUUUUUCUUGUUAAAUAUUGUCUGUUUCAUUGAUUACAGCUUUUAAUGAUUUUCUUUUUUCUAGGUUGAGUUUGUCAUUAUUUUUCUUUAUUCUUGUAAAGAGUAUUUAGCUUAGAUUUUUAACUUUCUAGUGUAAUGUAUACUUAAAACUAUAGAUUUAUCUCAUUGUAAUUUAUCUUAUGUUAGUUUUCUGUGCUACAUAAAAAUUUCUACAACUUUACCAGUUUAAAGUAGCACAUUUUUAUUAUUUCACAGUAUCUAUGGUCAAGAAUCUUGGCACAGCUCAGCUGGGUCCUGUGCUCAGAGGCUCACGAGGCUGUAAUCAAAUAGUCACCUGGACUGCCUUCUUACCUGGAGCUUGGGGGUCCUUUUCCAAAAUCAUUAGAUUAUUAACAAAAUGCAGCUCCUUUCAACUGUAGAACUGAGGCCCUCAGCCACUUGAGGCGGCUUCUCUCUCUCUCUGCACUUCACAUCAUGACUGUUUGCUUCUUCAAGACCAGCAGAAGAAAGUAAGUUCUCUUUCAGGGAAGGCCUGACGGGAUUCAUCUGAUGAGAUCAAACACUCCAUCCCCCCACCCACCCCCUCAGAAUAAUCUCUCUUUUGAUGAACACAGAGUCAAUUGAAUAAGGACCUUAAUUGCGUCUUCAAAAUCUUUUCACCUUUGCCAUAUUCUUUUGGUAAGUCACAAGCUAUAGGUUCUGCCUGCAGAAAGGUAUGGAUAUGGGGAUAGGGAGGGAUUUCAGAGGCCAUCUUAGAAUUCUGCCUACCACACACUCCAUUCUACAAGACUUGACAGCUGUUUCAGUUACUCCAGUUUCACAGAAUUUUCUGUUUUGCCCUAUAGAUAUUAUUUGGAAGUAUAAUUUUUUUUUUUAAUUCUUACGGUCAUGCUUUUAGCAUGUGGAAGUUUCCAGGCCAGGGGUUGAAUCAGAGCUUCACCUGCAAGCCUAUGCCACAGCCAGGGCAACACCAGAUCCAAGCCACAUCUGCUCCCAUGCUGCACCUUGUGGUAAUGCAAGAUCCUUAACCCUCUGAGCAAGACCAGGGAUCAAACCUGCAUCUCACAGAGACAUUGUCAGGUCUUUAACCUGCUAAGCCACAAUGGGAACUCCCAGGAACCAUAAUUCUAAUUUCCAAACAAAUAUUCAACUUCUCCCUUAUUAUUGAUUUCUAACAUAAUUACCUUAUAAUCAUAUAUUCUCUGUGAUUUAAAUUCUUUGAAAUUUUUUGACAGUUGCUUUAUGAAUACAUUUAAUUCCCUCUCAAUUUAUAUGUCAUCAUAGAUUUUGUAUCUGGAAGGCAUUACUAUUGUUUUAUAUAGUCAAUAUUCAUGUAGAUUUACCCAUAUAUUUGUUGCCUUUGCUCCCUGCUUGCUGAGUCUUGAACUUCCAUAUGGCAUAAUUUUCUGUUUACCUGAGGAAUACAUUUAGAAUUUACUUCAGUGCAGGUCAGCUGGUUGUAAAUUCACUUUGUUCUUUUCUUUAUUAAUGUGUUUAUUUUGGCUUCAUUCUUGAAGAUUUUUGCUGGGCAUAGAAUUCUCUUGAUGAUGCCUUCUCAUUAUCUUCUGGUUUCCAUUUUGUUACUAUGAAGAAAACAUCUAUCAGUCUUUUGCUCCAUUGAAACUAGUGUCUUUUUUCCUCUGGAUGCUUUCAAGAUUUUCCCUUAAUUUAAUUUAAUUUCCUGCAGCUUAAUUAUUCUGUGUUAAGUGAAAAUUUCAUUGUAUUUUCCCACUGGGUUUUAUGAGGUGUCUUGGAUGAGUUGACAUGUCAGUUCUGGGACAUUCUCAACUAUAAUCUAUUUAAGUAUUACUUCUGCCCAAUAGUCCCUCUCCUGCCUUCUUGGACCCUAAGUAAAACAUGUUAGAACUUCUUGGUGUAUUUCUUUAGCUCUUCAUUUUUCUUCUCAAUGUUCUGUGUUUAUUUUCUGAUCAUCCUAAACAGUUUCUUCUUAUAUAGCUUAUAAAUCACAAAUUCACCUUUCAGCUGUUUUUAACUUGCCAUGAGACUCAUUUAUUGAGUUCAUAAUUUCAGUGUGGUGGGUUAAGGAUCCUGUGUUGUGUUUCUUCAUGUUUGAUCCUAAGUGGGAGCAUUGGUCCAAAUGACCUGUUUUUUCACAUUACCCACCUCUAGAAAUUCAGGGUUAUAUCUUGGUCAUGAAUAAGAUGUAACCUUUGUGCUUUCAUUCUCGACAUCACCCUUGAGUGACUCAAGGAGUUCCAGAUAACCCCCAGAUAGUAUUUUAUCAUUUAUUGUGACUCAUUUAGUCUUUCAAAAAAUGUUUAGUGCCAAGUACACUCUAUCCUUUUUUUUUUUCUCUAAAAAUAAGGUGUCCGUGAUAAACAAGCAUGUAGUGUUUUGUUCUAGGAUAUAGACGCAAGCCAAUUUUUGUAAUAGAUGUUUUUCACACGAGAAAUGAACUGCUUAAAGUUAUGUUCAAGGUUUAACAUAUGUCUUCAGUCUUCUGCAGAGUUAUAGUUUUUGUCACAUUUUCAGAAGAGUCCGUGACUCAAAAAGUUUUAUUAAAGAACCAUUCCUCUGUAUAUUAGAGUAAUUUUAGCUUUUUAUAUUAAUAUAAAGGUUUAAAUUACAAGUC